GCGAUCUGUAAAUUUAGAAACGGAUAAUGAAUGAUUCCGCUCGCUACGACGUCUAAGUAUAGGUAGAUACUUAGAAGAUUCGUCGACAGUUUGUUACUGGAAUGAUCGUCAGAGAAAAAGAGAGAGAUCUCGUACCAUCAGACCAUAGGAUUAUUACAUAACUACUUGUAGCGCUCAUUACAAGAUCAAUUGUAGAUGCAUGUGUUAAAAAACGAACCGUAAAUGCGGAAAAUCUUCCACUGUGUAAUACCGAUAACUUGCAACUGGAGCGAUCAAUGUCACGUCAAUGUUCUAUGGCUUGAGGGUGGAAGGACAAAUAUCAUAUAUUGGAAUAUACGGAUUGACGUCAUAUUAUUCACGGUGUCAAGAUUUUCCGAGAUGCAGAAGGACGUCGGUUAUUUUAGGUCUCUGCAAUAUACGGAGAUUGAUGUACACAAAUGCAUUCUCUGCACUCGAACUAUCAUCAUUGUGCCGUUUACUUUUACGAUAUAAAACAGUCGAGUUGGAUACAUACAAAUAAAAAAUUGUUAAAAAAGCAAAUUUUGAGAGACUCGACGACGUGUCGUUGAAAAACAGAUUUCAGUAUAGCAAUGCGGAGAUGGAAUCCGGCGGAAUGAUAGAAUUUGGUAACGAAUAUCUAAAGAGAUUCGCGUACAAGAUUAUAUGUUUCGAAUCGGAUAUAGUUUGAUUGUUGACUGUCUGAUAAAUUUUGUCAUUUCAAAAUGUGAAAAACAAGGCUGUUUUCAAGAAGCUCUUAUGAAACAAGAGAUUCAGGGUGAUGUAUAGACAUGCAGGUAGAUACAUAUAUCAAUUAAGGAUUUCAGCCAAAAAUAAAGGAAAUAGCAAAACAAGCAUAAAAUGUUAGACUGCUGCUUUGGUAAAACACAAAUUCGAGUUCACCGACCCUUUCAUGGUGCGCGCACCACGUCUAAUCCCGUUUCCAAGCUGGGAAAACGCGCGUAGGACGGCUAUACGUCGGUUGAAUCAUCGAAAUAAUGGUGCGGUCGCAUCGGCCGUGUGUGUUAAGUCGACGAGGGAAAUGGAGAAAACCAGCUUUUAGAUUCUUCCGCAACAGUUCGCGUACUUUUCAGUCAUUUCGUCAACGUCAAACUGUAUCAAGAUUUAAAAUCGUUAUGCGUGCACGGUGUGAUAGUAUCGGCAGAAAAGGUUUCUCUUGGAAAAAAGAAUUCGAAUUCUCUCGAUAUUGCUUCUUUAUUGUUUGAGGAUGACUCUUCUACGAGACUCUAUAUUUGCCAUUUUUAUUUGGAAGAUGUGAAGGGAUACAUAAAGUUGAAGCGAUUGAAGGAAAGUCUCUUAUUAAGCGUACAAAAAUAAAAAGAAAUACAAGAUACGCUUUCAUUGUAUUGCACCAUUUCCCGAGUUACCGUCGUUGCUGCGUUCUGCGAAAGUAAAAUAUCGUGGUCGACAGCAUCGAGUCGAAUCCACAUGUACGAAAAAGCCGCACCGUCUAACCGAAUUUAUCAAGGCUGCAUGAGGUUGCCUGUUGUGUAGAUGCUCAAGACUUGCAUUCGCAAAAAAAUCCGCAUGCACACGCACGCACGCACGCACGCAUACACGCAUGCACGUAUUAUUAGAAUUAUUAAUUAGAAAUGCAAGGGACACGCGAGAUCGCACGACUUGAAAAAUAAAUAUUCCAAAUAACAAUAAUAAAUGCCAAAUGUUCGCCAGCGUCUGGUAGCAAUUUAACAGAAAUAAACGCAGUAUACAUGAUAUAUCCGCAUCGCGCGAAAGAAAGAGUUUCGUGCGACUGUAUUUUAAAUACGUUUUCCAACGGAUUAUUAAUAAACGAAAAUAAGUGUGUGACACAAAAUACGUUGUUGCAAAUCUAUAUAACGGAUUUUCGACAAAUUAAUGAACUUUCACGCCUCACGUGUGAUAUGUAACAAUUAUCGGUUAGUUGGAGUUACGGAGUUAAAUUGCAAUUAAGGGUGAGAACGAAGAAGUGGCUCGGCUUUAGUCGAGACUAUUGUACAAAGAUAAUACGCAGAAGUAGCAUUACAGAACGUUUUACUAUCUUAUAAAAUUGUCAGCCGUCACGGAAGCGUAAUAAUAAGAAACAAUUAUCACGUUCGUAUUUCGAGUCAAUUGAUGUAUUGCGAGUUGCUGUAUUGUAUUUCUUCUAAGAAAAAACGACGAACAUCUUUGACUUACCAAGAGAGAAAAGUUUUGACCAAGUGCAAAAAAUCAGUCGAAUCUCAGCUUUGGAAAGUUGUUUAAAGCUCCUGAGUAAUCGCCGAGGUCAUGUUGGAAUCGUGACGUCAUAAGCGAGAAAUGACACGUUGACUUUUAUUUCAUUUGCAAAAUUUGCAAAUAAAGAGAAUUUGGAUGAAAACAAAAUGAUGAAAUCGCUUUAAGCUUUAAAACUAUCCGUUUUAAAUCCAAACACGUAGUGUUUUGUCUAUUGAAAAAAUUUAAAACUAAAACAUCUCUAAGUGUUUAAAAAAUGGAGACAAGGAUAAAACACAUUUCUUUUUACAGUGGCGCUGAGCGGUUCCUGUAAAUGAUUCAAUUGUAAUUCGCAUCACUCUCUCGUGAUUUCUUGAGUCGAAUUUGUAAGCGAAAUUCAUGCGCAAAUGGUAAGAAUAAUCGAUCGUGUUGUAUUGCCCUCAUGUUUAUGAGAAAUAAUAAGUUGCUGGAAGGAGUA